ACGCGAGCUGGGUUCAGAACGUCGUGAGACAGUUCGGUCCCUAUCCGUCGCAGGCGUAGGAAAUUUGAGAAGACCUGUCCUUAGUACGAGAGGACCGGGAUGGACGUACCUCUGGUGUACCAGUUGUUCUGCCAAGGGCAUGGCUGGGUAGCUAUGUACGGAAUGGAUAAGCGCUGAAAGCAUCUAAGCGCGAAGCCAACUUCCAGAUAAGAUUUCCCACCGCAAGGGUAAGACCCCAGAAAGACUAUCUGGUUGAUAGGUCGAAGGUGUAAGUGCAGCAAUGUAUUUAGCUUAUCGAUACUAAUAGGUCGAGGACUUGACCAAU
rnacentral:rRNA from 1 species